UACGUAGGGGGCAAGCGUUGUCCGGAUUCAUUGGGCGUAAAGAGCGUGUAGGCGGCCAGGUAGGUCGGUUGUGAAAACUGGAGGCUCAACCUUCAGAGGUCGACCGAAACCAUCUGGCUAGAGUCCGGAAGAGGCGAGUGGAAUUCCUGGUGUAGCGGUGGAAUGCGCAGAUAUCAGGAGGAACACCAAUAGCGAAGGCAGCUCGCUGGGACGGUACUGACGCUAAGGCGCGAAAGCGUGGGGAGCGAACAGG
rnacentral:rRNA from 1 species